rnacentral:misc_RNA from 1 species
AAAAGGUCUCAACUAUGGGUUUGUUUUCGAGUUUUGCAGUUAUCCUAAUUGUGAAUCUCACGAUAUGCCAUGGAUGGUUACUCGGCUGUUAGUAAAGUUUUACUAAUUAAUAUCUGAUGCAAUUGUAUAACAAUGUUUCAAUGAAGAAUUUCUUGUCUUGAUAAAACCUUUUAUAAUAGUGAUAUGAAUGUAAUUGUUUAUUGUAUUUUUAGCAAAAUCUCAUCCAUGGGAUGGAUUGAAAGUGACCUGGGGUAUUAACCCAUUUAGCAGUUCUAGUUUUGUCAACAUGCCGAGAACGGAGUCCGAGGCGAAAAGCAGCGGGUUUACGAUGAUAUCAGGAUGUGGUCAUGCCAACUUUCUUGGUAAAAGAUAUAUGAAGAACAACGACCCUGCUGUCAUCCUUAUUUACGACGUCAAUGGUUAUAUUGCCGGAAUUCAGGCCGGGGUAUGUAGUUGUUUUAUUAUUGUAAUACUAGCAGUACUAAACUGAGCAAUAUAUAUACAUAAAGAAUAUUCACACGCAAUACUUGAUGUCAGCCUAACCCCCUAAAUUCCGUAAAAUCUACAUGGAGGAAAGGAAUUCAUAUGAUAAAAGUAAAUUUGUUGCCGCCGUUUGGCAAUUUUUUUUUAGUGGUUUUGAUUAGCAAACUGUUUAUUUGUUUUGUAGAAGAUAUAUAUUUAUUUCAUCCUCAUGUCUCAAUUUUGCAAUCGGCGGCGGUUAAUGACGUCAGAAAAGACGUAAUAUUUGUGAUCAUUGAAAAUUAGGCAUAUAAUCUAUUGUCAUGUUGUUUUGCUUUUUGUAUGGAUAGAUUGCAGCUUUGAACAUUUGAGCAGGAAAAGUUUUGAUGUUUAUUCUUCUUUGAGAGUUUUUUUUUUUAAAUCAAAUUAAUAAUAAUGAAUACUUUACAUGUAUAUCUGUUAAAAUUCUCUAUUAACAUAAGUAUAACAGAUAUUUUAGGGCUCCAUUUUACACCCCAUUAAUUUAUAUUCCUUUGUUAAAUCCCUUUUUUUUCUUAAAUUUUACAUGUAACAAUGCUUUUUUCAUUAAUAAUAUUAUUUUCUGUAAAGGCAGUUGUAAUAUAGAGCACACAUCCCAAAAGAUCCAUGUUAUUCUGUUAUUAAUAGUUACCAACCACACUGAGCAAUGGAUACCCUCCUGCAAAUCUAAAAAACCAACCAUUGGUCCAAGAUGGCGACAAGUUCUACAUGACAGCUUAUUUUGUUUCUCCGGAUUCUAUUUGCACUCAUGGGCGAACGGCUGGCCAGUUCAGCAGCCAGGGUACUGGGACAGACCUGUAUAUUCAAAACAGCACUGAUCCAAUGGCCUCCAUCAGGAUUCCCCACCAAGAGUCAGCCAUCGGUUCAACAGCGUGGGUCAAAGGUCACUGUUUCCCUGCCAUGGGCGUCCACUAUUGGUAUGCCGCUACCCUGGACAUGUCAUGUGACAACUUUUUCCCAGUGUUCCUCCUAUACAAUGGAGGUGUAUUGAACGCAUUCGGAUGGGCGUUUCAAGCAGACCUCUCCUCGUCCCGAUUUGAACAUCCUACCACUUCCUCCUUUGCUGUAAGUGCAAGGUUUUAUUUUUUUAAACAUCCUACUGCUGGUGGUAAAUUUCUAUCAUUAAGCGGCGAUAUAUCAUUAGCGGUUGGAGAUGUCAAGUGUUUAUGCAAUAAUUUAUAACAUUAGGCGUUGCAAUGGCAACGCUAAAUGGUAUUUGUAUCAUUAAGCGGCGUUGUGUCAUUAACGGUUAUUACAGUGGGCAAUAAAAGGUUGACCAAAAAGGGGAACAACUUUGAUCUGUAUGUAUGAAAAGUAAACUGUUAAGUCCCUUCAGUCCAAGGGCCAUAAUGGAAUAGGGUAAUUUUCCUAUCUUGAUAUUAUCAAUUAUUUAGGUACGUUGAGAUGAAUUCGGUGCUGUUUUAAUUUAUUAAAUAUCUAUUUUAAUAUUCUUUCAUUAUUUCUGACAUUCCCAAAUAAAGAAGGGGGGGGGGAAGUUAACGAAUUUAAUGUGAAAGAAAAAAAGAAAACAAACAAAACAAUACGCUACAACGGCUGUAAAUAGUCUGUUCUUUCUCGAGACGGCGAAUAAUUCAGAACAUUAUUUUUGGAAAGUGUGGAUUCAAAUAUAUGCCUAGUUUCAAUUUUCCGUUUAUUUUCUUCAAGAUCUUUCUUGUUUGACCACGUUAGAGUUCAGAUUACUUAUUCCAUUUAAUGUAAUGAAGAAUUUCAUAAAACUUUGUCAAAUGGACUGUAAGCUAACAUUUUGGUUGGUUUUCUUUUCAGGCCUUCAUGAAUCCUGUUCCACAGUGUUUAUAUAACGCCGGAAAACUCUCUACUUUGCACAUUUAUUUAAAUGGAAAUCCACAAACUGACUUGAUUUGUAACUAGGUUUUUUUCUUAUUUUCUCUGUGGCUAUGUAGAUGUUUUAUCUGAGAAAUAUGAUUUAAUUUCAAUAAAAUUACAAAUUUUU